UCUCUACAAAUUUUUGAGCUCAAGUGCAUAGAUCAUCAAAUAGACUAGGUGAUUAUGAAGUGAAUGAGAGCAAAGAAUGAGUUAUUGAUUUUUUUUUCUAAUUUUUAGCUAUUUUUUGAAUCAUUUUUCGAUAAAUUUUUCCUUUUGAACACUUAGCAGCAGCAAAGCAAGAGGGAAGUGUGGAUGAGUUUAUUGAUAAAUUCACAUCUAGAGCUGCUCAGGUACCUGGAAUUACAGAUCAACAUUACCUCGAGUACUUCCUCAAUGGUUUAAAAUCAUAGAUAAGGCUGCGGAUUCACUCCCAAGAUACAGUGGAUUUGUUUAAAACCAUGACUCUAGCUAAAGAAAUAGAGAGAGAGUUGUUGCAUGCACCGCUGGUGAAGGAGAUGAAGGGCACUUAUGAUGGGGGAGGAAAAGGGCAGCAAGGUCAUGGGUUGGGCUCUACUUUGGGGUCCAUUAACACUUGCAAGAAUGGUGGGCAAUCCAAAACUAAUGUUCUCAUUCAAGGAGUCCUGGGGCAAGCCCAGGCGGCCGAGGCGCUACAAGGCUCAAGGCGUCCCCCCCCCCCCCAAACCAACCAUAGCAGGCUCAGAAAUUUCAUUUUCUUUAGACCAUCGGCCAAAAAAAU
rnacentral:misc_RNA from 1 species